rnacentral:rRNA from 1 species
AUUGAACGCUGGCGGCAGGCUUAACACAUGCAAGUCGAGCGGAGAUGAGGUGCUUGCACCUUAUCUUAGCGGCGGACGGGUGAGUAAUGCUUAGGAAUCUGCCUAUUAGUGGGGGACAACAUACCGAAAGGAAUGCUAAUACCGCAUACGCCCUACGGGGGAAAGCAGGGGAUCUUCGGACCUUGCGCUAAUAGAUGAGCCUAAGUCGGAUUAGCUAGUUGGUGGGGUAAAGGCCUACCAAGGCGACGAUCUGUAGCGGGUCUGAGAGGAUGAUCUGCCACACUGGGACUGAGACACGGCCCAGACUCCUACGGGAGGCAGCAGUGGGGAAUAUUGGACAAUGGGCGGAAGCCUGAUCCAGCCAUGCCGCGUGUGUGAAGAAGGCCUUUUGGUUGUAAAGCACUUUAAGCGAGGAGGAGGCUACUGAGACUAAUACUCUUGGAUAGUGGACGUUACUCGCAGAAUAAGCACCGGCUAACUCUGUGCCAGCAGCCGCGGUAAGAC